UGCUGGAGGUAUCAGAAGUGCGAAUGCUGACAUAAGUAACGAUAAAGCGGGUGAAAAGCCCGCUCGCCGGAAGACCAAGGGUUCCUGUCCAACGUUAAUCGGGGCAGGGUGAGUCGACCCCUAAGGCGAGGCCGAAAGGCGUAGUCGAUGGGAAACAGGUUAAUAUUCCUGUACUUGGUGUUACUGCGAAGGGGGGACGGAGAAGGCUAUGUUAGCCGGGCGACGGUUGUCCCGGUUUAAGCAUGUAGGCUGAUUAUCCAGGCAAAUCCGGAUAAUCAAGGCUGAGGUGUGAUGACGAGGCACUACGGUGCUGAAGUAACAAAUGCCCUGCUUCCAGGAAAAGCCUCUAAGCAUCAGGUAACAUCAAAUCGUACCCCAAACCGACACAGGUGGUCAGGUAGAGAAUACCAAGGCGCUUGAGAGAACUCGGGUGAAGGAACUAGGCAAAAUGGUGCCGUAACUUCGGGAGAAGGCACGCUGGUGUGUAGGUGAAGUCCCUGCGGAUGGAGCUGAGACCAGUCGAAGAUACCAGCUGGCUGCAACUGUUUAUUAAAAACACAGCACUGUGCAAACACGAAAGUGGACGUAUACGGUGUGACGCCUGCCCGGUGCCGGAAGGUUAAUUGAUGGGGUUAUCCGUAAGGAGAAGCUCUUGAUCGAAGCCCCGGUAAACGGCGGCCGUAACUAUAACGGUCCUAAGGUAGCGAAAUUCCUUGUCGGGUAAGUUCCGACCUGCACGAAUGGCGUAAUGAUGGCCAGGCUGUCUCCACCCGAGACUCAGUGAAAUUGAACUCGCUGUGAAGAUGCAGUGUACCCGCGGCAAGACGGAAAGACCCCGUGAACCUUUACUAUAGCUUGACACUGAACAUUGAGCCUUGAUGUGUAGGAUAGGUGGGAGGCUUUGAAGCGUGGACGCCAGUCUGCGUGGAGCCAACCUUGAAAUACCACCCUUUAAUGUUUGAUGUUCUAACGUUGGCCCCUGACCGGGGUUGCGGACAGUGUCUGGUGGGUAGUUUGACUGGGGCGGUCUCCUCCCAAAGCGUAACGGAGGAGCACGAAGGUUAGCUAAUCCUGGUCGGACAUCAGGAGGUUAGUGCAAUGGCAUAAGCUAGCUUGACUGCGAGCGUGACGGCGCGAGCAGGUGCGAAAGCAGGUCAUAGUGAUCCGGUGGUUCUGAAUGGAAGGGCCAUCGCUCAACGGAUAAAAGGUACUCCGGGGAUAACAGGCUGAUACCGCCCAAGAGUUCAUAUCGACGGCGGUGUUUGGCACCUCGAUGUCGGCUCAUCACAUCCUGGGGCUGAAGUAGGUCCCAAGGGUAUGGCUGUUCGCCAUUUAAAGUGGUACGCGAGCUGGGUUUAGAACGUCGUGAGACAGUUCGGUCCCUAUCUGCCGUGGGCGCUGGAGAAUUGAGGGGGGCUGCUCCUAGUACGAGAGGACCGGAGUGGACGCAUCACUGGUGUUCGGGUUGUCAUGCCAAUGGCACUGCCCGGUAGCUAAAUGCGGAAGAGAUAAGUGCUGAAAGCAUCUAAGCACGAAACUUGCCCCGAGAUGAGUUCUCCCUGAGACUUUAAGUCUCCUGAAGGAACGUUGAAGACGACGACGUUGAUAGGCCGGGUGUGUAAGCGCAGCGAUGCGUUGAGCUAACCGGUACUAAUGAACCGUGAGGCUUAACCUU
rnacentral:rRNA from 1 species